GGGAGGCAGCAGUGAGGAACAUUGGUCAAUGGACGAGAGCCUGAACCAGCCAAGUCGCGUGAAGGAAGACGGUUCUAUGAAUUGUAAACUUCUUUUGUGCAGGAAUAAAGUGGGUUACGUGUAACCUUUUGUAUGUACUGUACGAAUAAGGAUCGGCUAACUCCGUGCCAGCAGCCGCGGUAAU
rnacentral:rRNA from 1 species